rnacentral:rRNA from 1 species
UGCCGACCCCCGGCCCCAAUUUAUUUAUCAAUUUACGUGCCUAUUCUAUCACCCCCGGUUCCCUCUUUUGAGGUUCUUCCGGGGUUUUUUACGGGAAUAUCCUCAGCACGUUUCUUAAUUCUUCUCGCGAAAGCUUGGMGGUUACAGUCUCAGGCGGGAGUACGKUCGCAAGAGUGAAACUUAAAGAAAUUGACGGAAUGGCACAACAAAASGUGGAGCGUGCGGUUUAAUUUGACUCAACAAGGGGAACUUUACCAAAUCCGGACAGGGUGAGGRUUGAAAGAUGGAGUGUUCUUUCUCGAUCCCCUGAAUGGUGGUGCAUGGCCGCUUUUGGUCGGUGGAUUGAUUUGUUUGGUUGAUUCCGUCAACGGACGAGAUCCAAGCUGCCCAGUAGGUGCCGGGAUUGUCCACACAGGACAGCAGUCCCUCCGGCGGGGAUUUUUUCCCCAACGGUGGUCGUCAUCCUUCUUUUUACAGGCCCCUUCUCUGCGGGAUUCCUUGCUUUUCGCGCAAGGUGAGAUUUUGGGCAACAGCAGGUCA